rnacentral:sRNA from 1 species
UGAUUGGGAUACUCUUCAAACUAAAAUGAAAUGCCGAGUAAAGCAAUUCAUUCCAAUGGCGGGCCUCAACCGAGAAAUCGGAGCUUUAUGCCGGAGGAUUACAAAGGGGUGAAUGCUCUCAAAUCCUGUAUUUAUCGGAGUUUCAACAAAUCCCUUUGGUGUGGCU